UACGUAGGGCGCGAGCGUUGUCCGGAAUUAUUGGGCGUAAAGAGCUCGUAGGCGGCCUGUUGCGUCCGCUGUGAAAUCCCGGGGCUCAACCCCGGGCUUGCAGUGGAUACGGGCUGGCUAGAGGCAGGCAGGGGAGAACGGAAUUCCCGGUGUAGCGGUGAAAUGCGCAGAUAUCGGGGAGGAACACGGUGGCGAAGGCAGGUCUCUGGGCCACUACUGACGCUGAGAAGCGAAAGCAUGGGGAGCGAACAGG
rnacentral:rRNA from 1 species